rnacentral:lncRNA from 1 species
AACAUUCAACACCUAUAGUCACCUGCCUGUUAACCAAAAUUACUUCUUCAUGGCCAAGAAUCAACAAAGACCCAUUGAGGACCCAUGAUGUACGAGAUAAUUGUGCCUGCCUCUCAAUCCACUGAGCGACCCAGCAGCUGCCCCUACAGAGUUUCAUUUGAAAACUCAGAGAAAAGAAAAUUAAAACAAGAAGAAGAAAACAAAGGUAAAAAAAGGCUUUGAAAAUUACCUGUUAAAUAUAGCAUAUAAUUAACAGGAAAAUAGACUUCAAAUAAUAGAGCGAAUUAGUUUCAUGUGCAAUUCUCUUUUUCUUUUCUAUUUUGUAAAUAGAAAUUUUAUUUGGUGUUCAUGUUCAGACAAAUUAUUUUAAAAGAAUUGUAAACUAUAUAAUAAUAUAAUUCUGAGU